rnacentral:rRNA from 1 species
GACGAACGCUGGCGGCGUGCCUAAUACAUGCAAGUUGAGCGAUGAAGAUUGGUGCUUGCACCAAUUUGAAGAGCAGCGAACGGGUGAGUAACGCGUGGGGAAUCUGCCUUUGAGCGGGGGACAACAUUUGGAAACGAAUGCUAAUACCGCAUAAUAACUUUAAACAUAAGUUUUAAGUUUGAAAGAUGCAAUUGCAUCACUCAAAGAUGAUCCCGCGUUGUAUUAGCUAGUUGGUGAGGUAAAGGCUCACCAAGGCGAUGAUACAUAGCCGACCUGAGAGGGUGAUCGGCCACAUUGGGACUGAGACACGGCCCAAACUCCUACGGGAGGCAGCAGUAGGGAAUCUUCAGCAAUGGACGAAAGUCUGACCGAGCAACGCCGCGUGAGUGAAGAAGGUUUUCGGAUCGUAAAACUCUGUUGGUAGAGAAGAACGUUGGUGAGAGUGGAAAGCUCAUCAAGUGACGGUAACUACCCAGAAAGGAACGGCUAACUACGUG